UGGGGAAUAUUGCACAAUGGGGGGAACCCUGAUGCAGCGACGCCGCGUGAGGGAAGAAGGUUUUUCGGAUUGUAAACCUCUGUCCUUGGUGACGAUAAUGACGGUAGCCAAGGAGGAAGCCACGGCUAACUACGUGCCAGCAGCCGCGGUAAUACGUAGGUGGCAAGCGUUGUCCGGAAUUACUGGGUGUAAAGGGAGCGUAGGCGGGAAGACAAGUUGGGAGUGAAAUGUAUGGGCUUAACCCAUAAACUGCUUUCAAAACUGUUUUCUUGAGUGAAGUAGAGGCAGGCGGAAUUCCUAGUGUAGCGGUGAAAUGACGUAAAUAUUAGGAGGAACACCAGUGGCGAAGGCGGCCUGCU
rnacentral:rRNA from 1 species